rnacentral:lncRNA from 1 species
GGGAGGCGGCCGACGGCGGGAGUUGGGGGGGGCGGGGCCCCGGCCUGGGGAACGGUCGCGGAGGGCGGGGCGGCCCGGUAGAGGCCACGACCGUGCAGACCGGCCGCCGCCAGAAGAGAGGAAGCGUGAGAAACGACGACACCCUGCCGGUGGCGACAACGUGGACCCAAGGCCCUCGUGUACAAACUGAAAAACACACAGAGACACAACGCUGAUGUAGCAGCGACACCGGCGGGUCACUGUCGUGCACCUGAGACCAGUGGAGCACGUGUGCCAAGUGCACUUCCGCUGAAAGAGGAAGGGAGCAAAUCCGUGCCCACUGCCAGGACAUCAAGGGUGUGAGAACGGCCACGCGCAUGACCAGGAUUCCCUGAAAAGGCCUCGCUGGCAUCCCGUCCCCGGCUUGUAUCUGUGGCAGGAGGACCGGUUAGAACUGCCUGCGCACCUGUGUCGGUCCCCGGCCCCCUGGCUGGAGCGUCGCUAUCAAGGCUGGAAAUUAACUGUUCCUGAAGGUGAUGUGCCCAGUAGCCGACCCUCCGGAAGCACUUGGUGGGGCCGGUGCGCCUGUCCCUGUGCAGAGGACACGCACGCCCUGCGGAUGUCUCUCCGUCCCUGGGGGGGGGGGGGGGCGACUGGACCGCCUGGCACCCUUUCUGUGGACGUGGAAACGGAGACUCCGAGGUGGGGGGGGGGGGGAGUUUCACAACUGUGUGCGUCACACGGUCGCCAGAG